AACUUUUAAUUUUAUUAACUUUUAACUUUUUAACUAAUUACUGCCUAAUCCUGAUUACAUGUAAUAUAUAGUAGUUAAAUAAAUAUCUAAAUUAGUACCUUUUUUUUAAAUCUUACGUGCUACAUUAAUUUCUAGGUUAUCAUGUCCAUUGUGACCGUUUUAGUUAUAAUAAUACAAGCACACCCAAAUAAAUGAAUAUUUCUAUCAAAUCAUAGUAAAAUUUUAAAAAUAAUUUUUAAAAUUAAUUUAUAUAAAAAUCCACAUUUGUUUAACAUUUAAUUUAAUAAAAUGCGUUCUACAAUAUCUUUUUGAUUUUGUUUUUAUGUACCCAUAAAUAUUAGAUAAUAUACUAAUUAAUAGAAGAUUACAGAAAAGAUAGCGAUUAUAGACUUACAAUUAGAUAUAGGGUUAUAGUAUUUACAAUGUUUCGUGUACUUUGUAUAAAAUUUUGGGAAUAACCGUCUAAGUUACUUCUUUAUGUACUAUUUAAACAAUGACCAUUGAUCGUAUUUAUUGUGUUAUCAUAAGAUCGAGCUGCAUUUCAGUAUUGCAGGUAUCUGAAAGUUUCAUAGAUAUGUAUUCUUUAUGUCAUUUUGACAAAUAUAUUGAGUAUUAAUUUUUUAACUUUAGUGUAACUUAAAAGACUUGAAUAUAGCUUUUAAAUGACGUAAUUAAAUUUAACGUUUGCUGUAAUGCAUACAUGCAUUGGACGUGUAAAGUUAUGUUUGUUAAAAAUAGACUCAAUAUUCUAAGGCCGAAUCAAUAACUUUAUUGUAUUUCUCACAUUUAAAUAAUGACAAUCUUGAUUACAAAAAUGUUCCUUUUAUACACAAAAGAAAUAUUUAAACAAACAUCAUUUCUUUAUAAACUGAAUUAUAAGAGACGUUACAUAGGGGAGAUCAGAGAUCGGCCAUCGUAAAGGAAGGAGAAUUAGUCGCGACAUCGACACACCGAAUUGACGAGAGAUAAAUCGAUCUAAUCGAUAGAUUAGCGCGUUGCGAAGGAGCACAAGUACGCCAUCUUAGCCGUGAAAUAUAAAUUUUUACAUUAUAUCCAACAAUAUUGCUUGCAUUCAAUGUUAUAAACCGUUUACAAAUGUCGCGGAAGUCCGCCAACUGUCAGUCACUAAUUCGAACCUGGUUAUAUACUUUUAUUUUACUUAUUAGUUAAUAUAAUGUUUGUUAUAAUAUUUUUAUAAGUCACAAAAACCGAAGAUUUUUUUACAUACAUUUUUUAAAAUCUUCUGUUAUACUAUGUAUACGAUACUGAUACUUAUGUGCAAAAUCUGCCAAAGAAAGUUUAUUUUUUAUCUUUUAAAAAUAAAAAUAAUUUUGAAAAUAUUUGUUAAUAGUAUUCCAUGUCCUCUUACAAAUUCCAUAACCGCAAUCUUUUUUCUCUCUUCAAAAAAUUGUUAAUUAUGUAUAUCCAAAGAACUUUUACUUAUAAAAUAAAUUGGUAGGACUUCAUGAGUAACAAACUUGUAUGGACAAGAAUUGAUCACAUAAACAUUUACUGAGUUAUUUAAAUAAAACAAAAUAGUGGUUCAUAAUCCUCUUAUCUCCGCUAAGUUUUAUGCAACAUAAAAAAUAAAUAAAAAAUACUUUUUAUUAUUGUAUUGCAUGAAUUUCAUAUGUCUAUAAUCUUGCUUAUUAAGAAAAUUGCUUUUUUAUAAAAAGUUAUUCAAAUAAUACAAUUUCUAUAAGUAAUAGACAUAAGCACUUCAUAAUCACAUAUAUUUAUAAUAUUUUUAUAUUUUUAUACAUAUACGUGUUACAACAGUAAUUAAAAUAUAACUUGCUUAAUAAAACUUUUAAAUGUGUAUAAACUCAUUAAAUGAAAAAAACAAAAAAUAAAAUAUAAAAUUUUCAACAAUAAUACUUACAUUUCUGUUAUAUGAAUAUUUCAUAUCAAAAUGCAGAAAAUUUAUCAUCAGUUCUAUGUUCCAAUAAAUUAUAGAAACUGAAUUAUAGAAACUUUAAUACUUUUAAAAGCUUAAUUGUUUACUUUAAUAUCUUUAAUUGAAAUUGCAAAAGUUAUCGUCGUUACUCGAUUCAAUUUACACAACCAAAUGGUCAACGAAAGUGCAGUUUGGAAUAAAAACCAUGUGUGCAAUGAUCAAAAGUAUUCGAACGAUUUUAAUGCCACUUUUAAUAACGAGUUAUGUAUUCGGGUUAAGAAUUGCCAAUUUAUCUAGUCAUUCCAGACAAUGGUUUAAUAUUUUAUACGUGUUGCUAAUUUGGUUAGUUGUCUAUGUCUUAUCGGUAUUUAUGGUACUAUUUUCUUUUUACAAUAAAUAUCCGGUCGAAAGACAUAUUUGCUUUUGUUUAGAAAACUUAACGACUUUAUCGUCAAUUCUGUUUAGUAUAUACUAUGAUAAGAAAUUUCAAAACUGUCUUAAAAAACUCGAUUUUGUCGACACUACACUACUUGAACUAGGAACAGUGACAGAUUAUAACAAACUACGUAAGAAAACGAAAUGGUUUAUCUUAGGAUGGUUCGUGAUUGUUAUAUCAACGGAUUGCAUUUCAGUAUUAUUGCUAAGAGAUGAAUAUGGUCAUAAUUAUGCAACAGCUAUGUUAUUCAG